GCCUGCAUGAAGUCGGAAUUGCUAGUAAUCGCGGAUCAGAAUGCCGCGGUGAAUACGUUCCCGGGCCUUGUACACACCGCCCGUCACACCAUGAGAGCCGGUAACACCCGAAGUCAGGAGCCUAACCGCAAGGAGGGCGCUGCCGAAGGUGGGAUUGGUAAUUGGGGUGAAGUCGUAACAAGGUACC
rnacentral:rRNA from 1 species